UCCUACGGGAGGCAGCAGUGGGGAAUAUUGGGCAAUGGGCGCAAGCCUGACCCAGCAACGCCGCGUGAAGGAAGAAGGCUUUCGGGUUGUAAACUUCUUUUAAGGGGGACGAACAAAUGACGGUACCCCUUGAAUAAGCCACGGCUAACUACGUGCCAGCAGCCGCGGUAAUACGUAGGUGGCAAGCGUUAUCCGGAUUUAUUGGGUGUAAAGGGCGUGUAGGCGGGAGCGCAAGUCAGAUGUGAAAACUCAGGGCUCAACCCUGAGCCUGCAUUUGAAACUGUGUUUCUUGAGUGCUGGAGAGG
rnacentral:rRNA from 1 species